GCCCUGGUAGCUCAGUCGGAUAGAGCAUCCGCCUCCUAAGCGGAGGGUCACAGGUUCGACUCCUGUUCAGGGCGCCA
rnacentral:tRNA from 1 species